GGCGUGGCGCUGGUGGUGUAGGGGUUAGCGCGCGGCCACAUAUAGAGGCUAUAGUCCUCAAAGUGGCCGUCCUGGGUUCAAGUCCCGGACCUGGCAACCUUUGCCA